rnacentral:rRNA from 1 species
AUUGAACGCUGGCGGCAGGCCUAACACAUGCAAGUCGAACGGUAACAGAAAGCAGCUUGCUGCUUUGCUGACGAGUGGCGGACGGGUGAGUAAUGUCUGGGAAACUGCCUGAUGGAGGGGGAUAACUACUGGAAACGGUAGCUAAUACCGCAUAACGUCGCAAGACCAAAGAGGGGGACCUUCGGGCCUCUUGCCAUCGGAUGUGCCCAGAUGGGAUUAGCUAGUAGGUGGGGUAAAGGCUCACCUAGGCGACGAUCCCUAGCUGGUCUGAGAGGAUGACCAGCCACACUGGAACUGAGACACGGUCCAGACUCCUACGGGAGGCAGCAGUGGGGAAUAUUGCACAUUGGGCGCAAGCCUGAUGCAGCCAUGCCGCGUGUAUGAAGAAGGCCUUCGGGUUGUAAAGUACUUUCAGCGGGGAGGAAGGGAGUAAAGUUAAUACCUUUGCUCAUUGACGUUACCCGCAGAAGAAGCACCGGCUAACUCCGUG